GCUGACGAGUGAAACGAGGCUGGGAUCUUUUGAUCUUGAUCUUUAAUAGCAAGAUCAAAAGAUCGCAGCCUCGUUUCACUCGUCAGC
rnacentral:misc_RNA from 1 species